CUUUGACCUCAAAUCAGGGUAGGACUACCCGGUGAACUUAAGCAUAUCAAUAAGCGGAGGAAAAGAAACCAACAGGGAUUGCCUCAGUAGCGGCGAGUGAAGCGGCAAAAGCUCAAAUUUGAAAUCUGGCGUCUUUGGCGUCCGAGUUGUAAUUUGAAGAAGGUAUCUUUGGGCCCGGCUCUUGUCUAUGUUCCUUGGAACAGGACGUCACAGAGGGUGAGAAUCCCGUGCGAUGAGAUGACCCGGGUCUGUGUAAAGUUCCUUCGACGAGUCGAGUUGUUUGGAAA
rnacentral:rRNA from 1 species